rnacentral:rRNA from 1 species
UACGAAGGGGGCUAGCGUUGCUCGGAAUCACUGGGCGUAAAGCGCACGUAGGCGGCUUUCUAAGUCAGGGGUGAAAUCCUGGAGCUCAACUCCAGAACUGCCUUUGAUACUGGAGAGCUUGAGUCCGGAAGAGGUGAGUGGAACUCCGAGUGUAGAGGUGAAAUUCGUAGAUAUUCGGAAGAACACCAGUGGCGAAGGCGCUCACUGGGCCACUACUGACGCUGAGAAGCGAAAGCGUGGGGAGCGAACAGG